rnacentral:rRNA from 1 species
GACGAACGCUGGCGGCGUGCUUAACACAUGCAAGUCGAACGGGGAUUGCCGACGGAAGCUCUUCGGAGUGGAAGAUGGUUAAUUCUAGUGGCGGACGGGUGAGUAACGCGUGAGUAACCUGCCUCGAAGAGUGGAAUAACAGCGAGAAAUCGUUGCUAAUACCGCAUAAGACCACGGUGCCGCAUGGUACAGGGGUCAAAGAUUUAUCGCUUUGGGAUGGACUCGCGUCCCAUUAGCUAGUUGGUGAGGUAACGGCUCACCAAGGCAACGAUGGGUAGCCGGACUGAGAGGUCGAUCGGCCACACUGGGACUGAGACACGGCCCAGACUCCUACGGGAGCAGCAGUGGGGAAUAUUGGGCAAUGGGCGCAAGCCUGACCCAGCAACGCCGCGUGAAGGAAGAAGGUUUUCGGAUUGUAAACUUCUGUCCUCAGGGACGAAAAAUGACGGUACCUGAGGAGGAAGCCCCGGCUAACUACGU